UAGGUUGUUGAUAUAUCUCCUCCCCAGCCCUCCCUCCCCUCUCCGCCUCUUCUCUCCACCAAGCCUAGCUCCCCCAAGGAAUUUAUGGAUCUCGGCGCCACCCCCAAUGGAUCUACUCUAUAUAUCGCGGCGUAUGAAUAUCAGGAAAAGCCUCAAACUAACCUCAGAACAAAGAUAAAAAGUUCUGGGUUUAGGAGUAAAUACAAUUCACACGUUGGUAACGACUGGUCCAGAAUCAAGAUGUCCAUUGCUGAGAAAAAGUUACGGAUAGCUGCAAGUACAAAUAAUUCCGAGCAGGUGGAGCAGCUCUGCCAAAAUGGUGUUAAUGUCAGGUGUUUCGAUGAACAUCAGCGAAGUCCCUUACAUUUUGCUGCUGCCAUGGGUUACUCUGAAGUUGCAGAGAUCUUACUUAAGCAUGGAGCUGACCCUAAUCAGAAGGAUAAACUAGGAAAUACAGCUCUGCACCUGGCAGCGUGUACCAACCAUGUACCUGUUGUAACUCUACUACUUCGAGCUGGAACUGAUAUUACAACUAUUGAUAACAACGGAAGAACUCCUAUGCAACUUGCUCAAGCGAAGUUAAAGAUAUUACAACGAAGUAGUUCCACUCAAAAAGAAAUGUCCCAGGUAAAGGAUGAAGUAAGUGGAGUACUGGAGAUGAUGAGGGAAUAUCUCAAGAAGGUUUUACAGUCAAGAGAUACAGAUAGACCUGGAGGAACAGAAGAGGUUUAUUCACAGCUCAUUAAUUCAUUUUCUCAACGUCUUAGUCUGCAUACUUCACACAGUGACCUUAGUAACGAUCUUGGCAAUCUACUUCAGUCAUUGGGGACUCUUAACCUGAACACUCCCUGAACCUGAACCGUGAACGCUCUCUGAACUCGAAAACUCCCUAAAUCUGAACACUCCAUGAACAUACAAACCCCUGAAGUUUAAGACUCUCUGAACCUGAACACUCCCUGAACCUGAAAGUAACACUGCAAACCACAUAUCUUUCGCCCUCCCCCCCACAUCAUCAAAACAAUUACUGAACUCACUGUACCUGAAACUUUAUCAAAUUAUCUCUGAACUCCUAAGGUUUCCAUUCCCAAACUAAAUUUGAGUUCUGAGCUCAGAUAAUAAUCAUUGUAGAAAAUCAUGUUUUCUAAUGAAACGUAUUUGCAAUUUGCAUGGAAUAAUAUCUGCGUCUUUAAUACAUGUUUUCUACUUGUCACUCUUUUACCAUUGUCAAAGCCUAAAAAACGUUGCAAACAAGA
rnacentral:misc_RNA from 1 species